CGCCACUCCUGCAUGUGCCUGUUUUUAUGGUUGUUUCUGUAUUUAUCAUCAAAAAUAAUUUCCCAGAGAACAAAAAAGCAAUAUGAAUAGAAAUUAUUUUUACAGGCAUCUAAGAAAACUGCAAUGGACAUUCAACUUAAAAUUGGUAGACCUAUCAGCAGCCAAAAAAAUAUUCCUGUUCUGUGCAAUUUUCCGAUAUGUAAGUUGCUAAAUUUUAAAAGAUGUAGAACAAUACAACUUUAAACUAUUUGCAAAAAUCUGUGUUCUGUUUAUCUGUGCUAUCCAUGAAUCCGUCCUACCUUGUGGUAAUGCGCAUGCGCGCAUCGCUGCUAUGUCACAUAUUGUUUAUUCAGGAGAUUUCCUAUUAAUACAACCUACCUGUGGAAGUUUUGUUUCAUGUGUUUUAGUUCAUCGAAGAUUACAGUAAGCUUUAUUUAAUUUAUAUCUGGCUUUCAUUAAGCUGCUGUAUUAUUUCAUGUUUUUAGUUUACAUGACAGGCAGUUUGUGAAUAUAUUUAUAAAUGGCUUUAGUUUGUCAACUGCAAUGUCGUUACAACUGUAAACAAGUCACUGUUUGGCGAUUAAUCAGGACAAAAUAUGUUGUUUUGUGGGCUGUUUUGUCCCUAUACUUUAAAUAUUUUAGUUUAAUUACUUUUUUUUUUUUUUUUUACUAAACCUUGCUUAAUAGAUGUUGGUACCGAUAAUAUGUGAGAUUGAAGCUGUAAUAAUUAUGUAAUAUUAGUGUAUGUUAAUCAUAUCCUAUCAUUUGAGGAGCACAGUGACCUGCACAGUUUGGUGGACACAUUGUGGCUCCACUGCAUUUGAUAACAUACAACAUAGUAAUGAUCAAAAAAGAGUUGCGGUGAUCUGUAUUUGUCUGUGUUUAAUUUCAUUUCAAUAAAAACCUGUUUCCCCUGCCUGAUACUGUUUUACUCUUACAAACACCUGUGCAUUUAAAAUAUUUUUAAUAAGGUAUGCUAAGCUAAGCAUAACUCCUAAGCUUCCUCUCUCUACUACCUCAUCAGAUUUUUCUACAGUAGCAUGGAUAAAUAGCUAUGUUUAUCCGUCAGUGCUACGCGUCCAAAACUGCUACCGUCAUAUUUACAAACAGAAAACUAUAGCGGGUUGUAUUAAUGUUAAAUAUAUUGGAUAACAUUAUUUGAGUGACAGGAUUGAAGUGUAAGCUUAGGAGUUAUGCUUAGCAUAGCUGUGGAACAAUUUCUAUACAUGACAAAACACAAGAAGAUCACUUCCUUCAUCUGAAUAUCCUAACCGUUUAAAAUGAAAAGCUAUAGAUGUAUGCACUAAUCCUUUUACUAGAACAUCCUGCCUUUUAAAGAAUAUUUUAUAUACAGAGGUGAUUGUAAGACUAAAACAGUAUCGGACAGGUGAAACAGGUUUUUAUUGAAAUUAAAUUAAAAAGACAUGUACAACUACCGCAACGCUUUUUUGCAUAUUAAUAUGCUGUAUGACACUUUAUCAAACGCAGUGCAGCCACAAUGUGUCCACCGAACUGCAUAGGUCACUGUGCACCUGAAAUUUUAGGAUAUGCUUAAUAUACACUAAUUUUACACUGCUAUUACACAGCUUCAAUCCAACAUAGUAUCACUACCAACAUCUAUUUAGCAAGGUUUAAU